rnacentral:rRNA from 1 species
GACGAACGCUGGCGGCGUGCCUAACACAUGCAAGUCGAACGGAUUCUAGAUGUUAGACAGUAGACUUUAGAUGUUAGAUGGCAAUCGCGAUGCGAUUGCGGGCCGUUUGCCGAAAGGCAAACGGAAGGAGCUGGCCAAAGGCCGGCGAAUCUGAUCACAGGAUUCAAAACCUUGACUUCGCAAUGCGAAGUCCAAUCUAAAAUCUAAAAUCUAGCGUCUAAUGUCUAGAAUUAGUGGCGGACGGGCGAGUAACGCGUGAGCAACCUGCCCUUCAGUGGGGGAUAACGUCUGGAAACGGACGCUAAUACCGCAUGAGAUAGUAGUGCCGCAUGGUACAGCUAUCAAAGAUUUAUUGCUGAAGGAUGGGCUCGCGUCCGAUUAGCUAGAUGGUGGGGUAACGGCUCACCAUGGCGACGAUCGGUAGCCGAACUGAGAGGUUGAUCGGCCGCAUUGGGACUGAGACACGGCCCAGACUCCUACGGGAGGCAGCAGUGGGGGAUAUUGCACAAUGGGGGAAACCCUGAUGCAGCAACGCCGCGUGAGGGAAGAAGGUCUUCGGAUUGUAAACCUAAGUUGUCAGGGACGAAACAAAUGACGGUACCUGAAGAGAAAGCUCCGGCUAACUACGUGCCAGCAGCCGCGGUAAUACGUAGGGAGCGAGCGUUGUCCGGAUUUACUGGGUGUAAAGGGUGCGUAGGCGGGCUGGCAAGUCAGGUGUGAAAUACCGGGGCUCAACUCCGGGGCUGCACUUGAAACUGUUGGUCUUGAGUGAAGUAGAGGUAGGCGGAAUUCCUAGUGUAGCGGUGAAAUGCGUAGAUAUUAGGAGGAACACCAGUGGCGAAGGCGGCCUACUGGGCUUUAACUGACGCUGAUGCACGAAAGCGUGGGGAGCAAACAGGAUUAGAUACCCUGGUAGUCCACGCUGUAAACGAUGAUAGCUAGGUGUGGGGGGACUGACCCCUUCCGUGCCGGAGUAAACACAAUAAGCUAUCCACCUGGGGAGUACGGCCGCAAGGCUG